GUUAAGCGACUAAGCGUACACGGUGGAUGCCCUGGCAGUCAGAGGCGAUGAAGGACGUGCUAAUCUGCGAUAAGCGUCGGUAAGGUGAUAUGAACCGUUAUAACCGGCGAUUUCCGAAUGGGGAAACCCAGUGUGUUUCGACACACUAUCAUUAACUGAAUCCAUAGGUUAAUGAGGCGAACCGGGGGAACUGAAACAUCUAAGUACCCCGAGGAAAAGAAAUCAACCGAGAUUCCCCCAGUAGCGGCGAGCGAACGGGGAGGAGCCCAGAGCCUGAAUCAGUGUGUGUGUUAGUGGAAGCGUCUGGAAAGGCGCGCGAUACAGGGUGACAGCCCCGUACACAAAAAUGCACAUACUGUGAGCUCGAUGAGUAGGGCGGGACACGUGGUAUCCUGUCUGAAUAUGGGGGGACCAUCCUCCAAGGCUAAAUACUCCUGACUGACCGAUAGUGAACCAGUACCGUGAGGGAAAGGCGAAAAGAACCCCGGCGAGGGGAGUGAAAAAGAACCUGAAACCGUGUACGUACAAGCAGUGGGAGCCUCUUUAUGGGGUGACUGCGUACCUUUUGUAUAAUGGGUCAGCGACUUAUAUUCUGUAGCAAGGUUAACCGAAUAGGGGAGCCGAAGGGAAACCGAGUCUUAACUGGGCGUUAAGUUGCAGGGUAUAGACCCGAAACCCGGUGAUCUAGCCAUGGGCAGGUUGAAGGUUGGGUAACACUAACUGGAGGACCGAACCGACUAAUGUUGAAAAAUUAGCGGAUGACUUGUGGCUGGGGGUGAAAGGCCAAUCAAACCGGGAGAUAGCUGGUUCUCCCCGAAAGCUAUUUAGGUAGCGCCUCGUGAAUUCAUCUCCGGGGGUAGAGCACUGUUUCGGCAAGGGGGUCAUCCCGACUUACCAACCCGAUGCAAACUGCGAAUACCGGAGAAUGUUAUCACGGGAGACACACGGCGGGUGCUAACGUCCGUCGUGAAGAGGGAAACAACCCAGACCGCCAGCUAAGGUCCCAAAGUCAUGGUUAAGUGGGAAACGAUGUGGGAAGGCCCAGACAGCCAGGAUGUUGGCUUAGAAGCAGCCAUCAUUUAAAGAAAGCGUAAUAGCUCACUGGUCGAGUCGGCCUGCGCGGAAGAUGUAACGGGGCUAAACCAUG
rnacentral:rRNA from 1 species